UGCAAUCAUAGUGCUCUCAUUGGACUACAAUCCCUUGCCUUGCAAGAAAUGUCUGCGUCUUCCACAUGGGCUCAUUUAAGAUUUGCCAUGUGAUUUUAAUAAAUUGGUUCCCUUUUAUGUGGGGAGAUCUGGUAGUAAGUUGAAUCUUAAUGUACCCACGCAGCUCUAUAAAUUAAAUUAUAUGCUUACGGGAGUUAUCUUGCAUCAGGCAUUACAAGAAGCCCUUGUUAUGAUGGCACAAAGGAUGCUUUACUUUAUCUCUUGCGCCCAUCUUUUGUCUGAUUUCAUUUGCAUGAUGAUAUAAAUGCAGGUUCAUGGAGUGAAUCUGGCAGGCCCACUAGCAGGAUAUGACAGUCAUAUGUAAGGUGAGAGUUUAAAGGUUGAAUAUUCCAUACUGGGUUAUUUUUGGGUAUGCGCUUUCCAUUCAUAGUUUUGAGUUUGAAAUUUGUUGAGGAUUUAAAUUGUGAAUGGAUAGCUCAACUAAAGUAUGCGAAACCCCAUUCAGUUUGAGGCAAUAAAUAAGCUCUCAUUUCAGCAAAUUUGCUUGCCUUGGUAUGUUAAUGCCUCUAGAUUUUAAUCAGCUUGUUCUUGAGCUGUAAUUUUAGAAACUAUUUUUUUUUUUUGCAUUUUUGUUUUUAUAUCCUAGAACCAUUGAAGCCAUAAGUGUCUUGACAUAUAUUUUGGCCAUAUGUAAAAUUCCUCCAAGCUUCUAGAAUACUAUAUUUCUUUUUAGCUUGGAAUAGGUUCAAAUCAUGUACCUAUUGCUAUGUCUUUGCACUAAUAGCUGCUAUCGUCGGUGCUAUAUUUGACCGUCUUUGUAUGUUUGAAAUUAGGAGACCUAAAACAUUUUUAGCUUACCAUGGCUACUCUAAUCAGUCAUAAGGGUUACUGCCUACUUUUAUUUUUUAUGUCCAGAAACAGAUUGCUUUAGCUUAGGCAUUGAAAUAAUUAGUGAAGUUGUUACGCGCAUAAUACUGACAGCCUAUGGUUUGAAUGUAUUAGUGCCCAUCGACGGUCCAGGUAACCCACCAACCGACAAGGCAAAAUCAGUUCCAACACAUGAAUUUUGCACCAAGUCUUACUUGUUUUUGUAGUAUCCAGGUUGAUUGGAAUAAAUUGAUUGCAGCCAACUAACAUAAAGAGGGUUCAGUUCUUCAUUGGGGGUAAAUCCCUUCUUCAAAAUUGCCUAUUGUGUGGUGUAACUGCUGUUGGAUUAAUUACGCCCAUGGCAAGGGUAUGCCUGACAUAUUUUAACUGGAAAUUGCUACUGUGUAGUGGGAACAAAUGAGCUUUAAUCAAAUUAAAUUAUUCUCUUGCAAUUUUGAUGAGAACAAAUAAGCAGCCAUCAGAGGGAGCCUUCUAGUAAAACAUAUCUACUUCCAAGCUGCACACCAUUUUUUCAGACUAUAGACCGUGUUUUCAUUGCACUCACGUAUUUUAUACUUUCUGGUGUGCAUUGCAAUCCCGCCCCUUCGUAUAGCUAGCUGGUAUUGAUGUAAUCUGUGUUGAUAAUAACGUUCCAGUUUUUUGCUUAUUGGUUGACUCUUGGCAGUUUCUUUUUUCUUUUUUGCAGAAAUGGAUGGUUCUUCCAGCUUCAUGACAUCCAGUAUCUACAUAUGUGCCCAAGGUUGGAAAAAACGCAAGCCAAGCAGGCUGUUGGCCUUUGCGACAGUUUUUAUUAUCAGAGUGUAUGUAUGGUUAUUCUGUGUGUAUUGAUAUUAAUUUAGGGCAUAUAAUUAAGUGAACUAUCAUCUACUACCAUUUGACAUAUCAAUGCAAUAUGUCAUGCUUGAUCGUGUAGGCAAUUUCUUAUUUGCCCUGCCUAGACUUUCACUCAAGGCGAGGCGUUCAGCCAUUACUUAGCACCUAAGCGUGCCUAAGUGGCUUGUAAGCACUGUUUUUUCCAACAAUGUAUGCGCCUGGCUUGUAAGCACUGUUUUUUCCAACAAUGUAUGCGCCUAUUUUUUCUAUCGUAGACCUGAGACAACCGUUUCCACCAAGAUCCAGCAAGAAGUGGAAUGAAUGGGCUGUGACCAAUAUCGAAACCUACUCGUAAAAAUCUAAAGAACACGAUCAAUAAAUCAGUUUAUACUGACACCGACGAUAAAAAUGAAGAACACGAUAAUCAGAUUAUAC
rnacentral:lncRNA from 1 species